rnacentral:rRNA from 1 species
UACGGGGGGGGCAAGCGUUGUUCGGAAUUACUGGGCGUAAAGGGGACGUAGGCGGCCAACUAAGUCAGACGUGAAAUCCCUCGGCUUAACCGGGGAACUGCGUCUGAUACUGGAUGGCUUGAGUUCGGGAGAGGGAUGCGGAAUUCCAGGUGUAGCGGUGAAAUGCGUAGAUAUCUGGAGGAACACCGGUGGCGAAGGCGGCAUCCUGGACCGAUACUGACGCUGAGACGCGAAAGCGUGGGGAGCGAACAGG